GUAACAGCCACGGGAGCUGGGAGGAUACUGAAAGGGCUAAGCUGUGCGGAUUUCUCCCAGAAGGCCUCGAGGGGAACACCCAGUAAUUAAACAGAGCAAUCCGGGAACUUGGAGUCUUCCAUGUGGCUCCUGGUGGCUCCACCCUCUUCCAAAGCCAACGCCCACCAAGCCUGACUCUGUAUCAAUUUCAGUAGCAUUCUUUCUUCACCGAAGAAAAGCAAAGAGACACAGAACGCUGAGUAAAUUUGUGGGCGAUCUGUUUGCUGUUCUAAAGAGAAAAUACCGUGUUUACUUUGAGCGAAGCGAGGAGUCUGCGCAGCCUGGAGAUGACAUCUGUUUCCGCAGCUUGGAAGGCUUCUACUCCAGCUGCUGCCCGGAAAAGGAGGCGGGCACUUCUUCAGGGCAGUGGAAAAACACAGCUUUGAAAAUUCCGUGACAUAAAGGCUCCCUACAUAAGAGUAGUGAAUAGAAGAAUGAACCAGUGAUUUACUCACAGUUGUUAUCUAUAACAUUAUUAGCACUAUCACUUUUCAUUUUCUCAGUCUGCAUAAAUAAAAUCCGAGUCUAAGUGUAAUAGCGGCGCGUGCAGUUUGCAUGUGUCCGCUAACUGGCUUGCAAUCACUUCAUAAACGGUUGCCUGCCGUCUUCUCUUCCUCUACUCUUCUUUUGGGGCUGCAUUUUUAGCACUUCAAUUUUCUGUACUUGUUCU
rnacentral:lncRNA from 1 species